GGACGGUGGUCUCCAGAGCGGACUUCAGAUCUGCUGGGUGGCGGU
rnacentral:tRNA from 1 species